rnacentral:rRNA from 1 species
CGCGGCCUAUCAGCUUGUUGGUGGGGUAACGGCCUACCAAGGCGACGACGGGUAGCCGGCCUGAGAGGGCGACCGGCCACACUGGGACUGAGACACGGCCCAGACUCCUACGGGAGGCAGCAGUGGGGAAUAUUGCGCAAUGGGCGGAAGCCUGACGCAGCGACGCCGCGUGGGGGAUGAAGGCCUUCGGGUUGUAAACCCCUUUCAGCAGGGACGAAGCGCAAGUGACGGUACCUGCAGAAGAAGCGCCGGCUAACUACGUGCCAGCAGCCGCGGUAACACGUAGGGCGCAAGCGUUGUCCGGAAUUAUUGGGCGUAAAGAGCUCGUAGGUGGUCUGUUGCGUCCGCUGUGAAAUCUCAGGGCUUAACCCUGAGCCUGCAGUGGAUACGGGCAGACUAGAGGUAGGUAGGGGAGAAUGGAAUUCCUGGUGUAGCGGUGAAAUGCGCAGAUAUCAGGAGGAACACCGGUGGCGAAGGCGGUUCUCUGGGCCUUACCUGACACUGAGGAGCGAAAGCGUGGGGAGCGAACAGGAUUAGAUACCCUGGUAGUCCACGCCGUAAACGUUGGGCGCUAGGUGUGGGAUCCUUCCACGGAUUCCGUGCCGCAGCUAACGCAUUAAGCGCCCCGCCUGGGGAG